rnacentral:rRNA from 1 species
AAGUCGACCCCUAAGGCGAGGCCGAAAGGCGUAGUCGAUGGGAAACGGGUUAAUAUUCCCGUACUUCUUACAAUUGCGAUGGGGGGACGGAGAAGGCUAGGUGGGCCUGGCGACGGUUGUCCAGGUUCAAGUGCGUAGGCUUAAGAGUUAGGUAAAUCCGGCUCUUUUUAAGGCUGAGACACGACGUCGAGCACCUACGGGUGUGAAGUCAUUGAUGCCAUGCUUCCAGGAAAAGCCUCU